rnacentral:rRNA from 1 species
UAGAGUUUGAUCCUGGCUCAGGACGAACGCUGGCGGCGUGCUUAACACAUGCAAGUCGAGCGAUGAAGUUUCUUCGGAAAUGGAUUAGCGGCGAACGGGUGAGGAACACGUGAAGAAUCUGCCCUCCACUUUGGGAUAACACCGGGAAACCGGUGCUAAUACUGAAUAUUGAAACAUAAGUGGCAUCACUGAGUUUUGAAAGAAUUUCGGUGGAGGAUGACUUCGCGGCCUAUCAGCUAGUUGGUGAGGUAAUGGCUCACCAAGGCAACGACGGGUAGCCGGCCUGAGAGGGCGACCGGCCACACUGGGACUGAGACACGGCCCAGACUCCUACGGGAGGCAGCAGUGGGGAAUAUUGGGCAAUGGAGGAAACUCUGACCCAGCGACGCCGCGUGCGGGAUGAAGGCCUUCGGGCUGUAAACCGCUUUCAGCAGGAACGAAAAUGACGGUACCUGCAGAAGAAGGAGCGGCCAACUAUGUGCCAGCAGCCGCGGUGAUACAUAGGCUUC